rnacentral:lncRNA from 1 species
GGGUGUAUUGGGUUUUACUGUUUAAAUUGGGCUUCUGGCCCAAGAAGAAGAAACAUUUCUUCAACCUAACGGUCGCUGCCUCAGAUUCUCAGAAGCUCCUCACCUUCACGACAUUCACAGGCACCUCCAGGAGCUCUUCAACUUCGCAAACUCUUGCACGUUUACUUCUCCAACUCCCAAAGCUUCAUACUUUUCAGUGAGUUAUCCUUUUCUCUGCUCGAAAUUUUCAAGGAUUUUGAAUCAGUUACUGCCAAGGCCGCCCUUACUGAAAAUUGAUUUUAAUUUGGCGAUUUUAGAUUUUUGUCUGUAAUUUUUUUUCCAUUUUUGAAAAUUUUGAUUUGGGAAAGUCUUGAUUUUGAUAUGAACUUUGAUCACGAGGUUGGGCUUGACUGCAAUGGUUGAUGAAAUGCCUCUUUGAGAGUUUGAGACUGUAAUUUUUCUGUGUGUUUUGUACUCUUCCUAGUAGGCAUUCAUGUAUCAUAUGAUGCAUUGUGACAAAUUGUGUUAUUGGGUCUGCUCUGCUGUAUGCAUAAGGGUUUAUCUAUCUGCUUAUUUUUAUAUUUUAUUAUUAUUAUUUAACUAAGUUCCAAUAACUGAAGUGAAGGGGACAAGAAAAAUAUUGAGGAGAUGUUUUGAAAUACUUUUUCUUGUUAAAGGGAAACUUACUGAAAUUGUGCUAUUGUGCUUAAGAUGGUUGCUUUUUUUGAAAUACAUAAACUGUGUUGUUUUCCAGUUGAAUAAGGCUGCACCUUGUAUCAAUUUGCAUGUGUGUGUAUAUAUAGCCAUCAGAUAUUUUCUACUGAGACUUGGUCAAACAAAUUUCUAGAAAACAUGAACCCAGAAAAAAUUGACAGAGAGAGGCUUGCAAUGUAGGAAAUGUGCGAGUUAUAUUGUUUUUCAAGUUUGAUGUCCCCAGUUUUUCUGUUUCAAAAUUUUCAAACUUAGUGGCCUGAUUCUUAUAUCCCUUGGAACUUAAAAUGUAUAAUGGCUGUACAUUCAUGAUAGUUACUUUUUUAUUUUCAAGGCAAGAGUAUAUUCAAAUGUUUUCUCAGGUGACUCCAAUAUUCUUUCGAACAUAUUAAGAAAAAUGAAAAUAUCUUAUCUAGGCUUUUUUGGCAAAUGGCAACCCCCUUUAGCAAUCUUUCCUGUUUUCUCUAUUGUUUUUCUACUAGAUGACAUGAGUCAACUUGGUUGCGAUCUUUUGUUUGGAACUGAAGUAGAGAAAAGGUCGGACUAAUGCUUGUACAUUUUCUCUGUGGCCUUGUUCUUGCAUGGGAUUCAUUUUAUUUUGCUCUACAACUUCUGCUAUAUGUUUCUUUCUUUUUUAUUAGUUGACAUUGUAUCUGUUACAUGUAAUUCAACGAUUCUCUCACGGUGACCUGAAUAUGUUAGGCUUUAGUUGUAUAACCAUUGGAUUAUGCCAAAAUGACCAGUAGAAUUUUGUAAAGUGAUGCGUAAGCGAAGAUUCUAAUGAUAACUAAAUGAUCAGCGAAGUUCAUUGUAUUUCCCUUUUUUUUUUCUUUUUUUUUUUUCUGUUAGACUUCUGAAGAAGAGAUUGACCUGUGCAUUGGUGAUGGUGGAAGUGUGGUGGUCCCUGUUAGCCGCUAUCCCUGCAGUGGUUGCAGGACAAGCAAUUCGAGUGAAGAAAAGGCGUGCGGAAGAGGAGAGAAUAAAGAGUGCUAGAGGGAGGGAGAAAAGUUCCGAUGAAAUUUUUGUAUGUGAGAGGGUGUGCACAUCAAAGAGAAUGCUGAAAAAGGUUGGUGCAUUCUCAAAGGACCCAAUUCCUGAUACUUGUGUCACUGUCUGCGGUGUAUCUGAGCUUGAUGCCUGCGCGGAUGCAUGCGCACGGACGGUUUGUGUAAACCAGCAUCAAGUACCUAACUGGAAUGACAUCUGCCUUAGGAGAUGCCAGAGUGAAUGCUUGAAACUCUCAUCCUCAAGUUCUCUUUAAAUGAGAAACAUGUGUUACAAGGGGAGUUAUCAUAGUGUUGGUCACUCCCAUUUUCUGACAUAAAUUCUCUGAUUAUGAAUGUGAUUAAUGUUGCUUGUGCAAGUGCCCUUAUCAUCAGUAUUUUUCUUCGUCUGGAAACUGCUGGCCAUCCAGGCUCCUCGUUGCAUUUUUUUUAUAAAUAUUAUGCGGCCUUUAGCUUGUUAACUUGGUUGUUGGGCUUUGGCCAUUUAUACGAGUGUCUGUAUGUGUUUGGGCUGCUGCCCUUGCCUUCUUUUGGUGAGUAUAUUCUUUUAUUUAUAAAAAGGAAAAUUUUGCUGGCCAUCCUAGACGCAUCAUCGCCACAACAACGUAUGAAAACGGUACAAUUUUUAAGGGAUCCGAAUCCUAUGCUUAGAGUGUUUAAGACCAA